rnacentral:rRNA from 1 species
UACGAAGGGGGCUAGCGUUGUUCGGAAUUACUGGGCGUAAAGGGCGCGUAGGCGGCUAUUUAAGUCAGUGGUGAAAGCCCGGAGCUCAACUCCGGAACUGCCAUUGAAACUGUUUAGCUUGAGUACGAGAGAGGUGAGUGGAAUUCCCAGUGUAGAGGUGAAAUUCGUAGAUAUUGGGAAGAACACCGGUGGCGAAGGCGGCUCACUGGCUCGUAUCUGACGCUCAGGCGCGACAGCGUGGGGAUCAAACAGG